AGCGUGAUGGCGAAUGGGCCCCAGUGACAGAGCCAUUCAGUUGCACGGGCCAUAAAUUACGGUGUGGAACGCCACAUUUACCACUGCAUUCUGUCAAAAAACCGGCAAAGGUUCUUGAGCACAGCCAAAAUGCCAGGAACAAAAGGUAAUAAGUCGGACAAGAAGUCAACCACCAAGCAACCUCAAAGUCCUAAAGAGCAGCCAAAGAAAGUUGAUCAGAAAGGAGAUGACAACAAGAAGCAAGGAGGACAGCCGAAGGGAGAGAAGCAGUAACUUCCAGGCGUUUGUGAAGAUGGCUUUAGAGACGUUGCUGGGGUCCUGCCGUCGCAAACACGGAGGUCCCCGAGGCAGACAGGGCUGAGCUAUAAGCCUUCCUCCAGUCCUCUGAGUCUGCCGACUGGGUAGUUGGGUUGUCGUCCAACACAAGAUCUGCUCACCUCUAACAGAGAUGGAAAAUUUAACCUUUAUCUGUUCCCCAAACUGUCCACCCAACAUUCUGGAUGUUCAGACUCCAGUAGAAAAUAGACCACUGCUGAGGGCAAGAUCACAGUGUGUCAUUCUAUCCCAAUUUAAUUGACUGUUUAACAGUCCUUACAUUUUCCUUGUAAAUAAUACAAAUAUUCAAAUAAACUCUUUCUUACAUCA